AACGAACGCUGGCGGCAGGCUUAACACGUGCAAGUCGAGCGCCCCGCAAGGGGAGCGGCAGACGGGUGAGUAACGCGUGGGAAUCUACCCAUCUCUACGGAAUAACGCAUGGAAACGUGUGCUAAUACCGUAUACGUCCUUCGGGAGAAAGAUUUAUCGGAGAUGGAUGAGCCCGCGUUGGAUUAUCUAGUUGGUGGGGUAAAGGCCUACCAAGGCGACGAUCCAUAGCUGGUCUGAGAGGAUGAACAGCCACACUGGGACUGAGACACGGCCCAGACUCCUACGGGAGGCAGCAGUGGGGAAUAUUGGACAAUGGGCGCAAGCCUGAUCCAGCCAUGCCGCGUGAGUGAUGAAGGCCCUAGGGUUGUAAAGCUCUUUCACCGGUGAAGAUAAUGACGGUAACCGGAGAAGAAGCCCCGGCUAACUUCGUGCCAGCCGCCGCCGUAAGAC
rnacentral:rRNA from 1 species